GACGAACGCUGGCGGCGUGCUUAACACAUGCAAGUCGAACGAAGUGGCGAACGGGUGAGUAACGCGUAAUCAACCUGCCCUUCAGAGGGGGACAACAGUUGGAAACGACUGCUAAUACCGCAUACUGAAGGAGGGGAUUGCGUCUGAUUAGCUAGUUGGAGGGGUAACGGCCCACCAGGGCGAUGAGCCGUAGUCGGUCUUGGAGGAUGAACGGCCACAUUUGGAAUGAGACAAGGCCCAGACUCCUAAGGGAGGCAGCAGUGGGGAAUCGUCCGCAAUGGACGAAAGUCUGACGGAGCAACGCCGCGGGAGUGAUGACGGCCUUCGGGUUGUAAAGCUCUUUUAAUCGGGACGCGGUACCGGAAUAGAAAGCCACGGCUAACUACGUGCCAGCAGCCGCGGUAAUUC
rnacentral:rRNA from 1 species